rnacentral:rRNA from 1 species
GCCGGCGGUUCGGAAAGAAAGAUGUGAAAUCCCAGAGCUUAACUUUGGAACUGCAUUUUUAACUACCGAGCUAGAGUGUGUCAGAGGGAGGUGGAAUUCCGCGUGUAGCAGUGAAAUGCGUAGAUAUGCGGAGGAACACCGAUGGCGAAGGCAGCCUCCUGGGAUAACACUGACGCUCAUGCACGAGAGCGUGGGGAGCAAACAGGAUUAGAUACCCUGGUAGUCCACGCCCUAAACGAUGUCAACUAGCUGUUGGGGCCUUCGGGCCUUGGUAGCGCAGCUAACGCGUGAAGUUGACCGCCUGGGGAGUACGGUCGCAAGAUUAAAACUCAAAGGAAUUGACGGGGACCCGCACAA